UUCCUCCCCUCCUUCCUUCUCCUUCCCCUCCUCCCUCGCUCCUUCACCUCAUCCUGCCCAUCGCCAUGUUCGCCCCUUUUAGGCAGACGGAGGAAUGCGGAGCGGCGGCGGCUGGGGCUGCCAAGAGCCCGAGGGCCGCUGAUUGGAGACUCCGCAUCAGAUGGGGCCGCGGCUGCCCCCCUUAAAGGGACAGAGCCCCUCCGCCGCGCCGCCCACGCGUGACCGCCCCCUCCACGCGUGACACCCCCCGACAUCGCCUUCCCCCCACCCCCGUGUUGAAGUGGCACCAACGGCAGGGCCCUUGUCCUCCGUGAGCGUCCUUACGUCCCCACUGGGGAAACUGAGGCACGGAAAAAAAAUCCUGGCUGAGGCGACCGGCACUUUUCCUGUAUCAGAGAGCUCUUCCAGGAUGAGCGCUUGGCCUGCACUACGUGCCUCCGCGCCUGGAAGCGUUUCCAAGAGCUCCACGAGAUGCUGGAGGACACCCAGCGGACACGCGGACACUGAUGGGGAGAAGCUGUUCUCCCAAAGGUCAUUGCCAUCAACAUGAGGAGAAAUGUCCCAGAAGGAGCUCCAGACACAACCAACAACACAUUUUGGUGAAAAACUUCAUUUGACAGCCGUGACUGCAGCAACAUUCCUAAAAGAUGAAGCACGCAUGGUUUCGUUGGCCAACUCUACCCACGGGCUCACGUGGAAUUUGCUGAAACAACUUCCUGUAUCUCCCAGCAAACCUCACCCAACCCAGUUCGGUGAGAUCCCACCCAACCCCGUCCGGUGGCUUUGCUGGGUGGGAGAGGUGACGUGGUCAGGGUUGUGGCUGUUGUAAUACAGAGAGUCAAGGGAGAGCUUGAUGGGGAAGGACGUGUCCAUGUCCAUCCUUCCAGCCUGCUUAAGCCACCUCUUCUCCUGCUCCUGUGGUGGAUGUGGUAGAUGUAGUGGAAGACCCAUCCUUGGGACAUUCACGGCUCUGAGCACCUGAUGGAGCUGUAGGUGUCCGUGUUCACUGCAGGGGGGUUGGACCAGAUGGCCUUUAAGUGUCCCUUUCAACUCAAAUGAUUCUGUGGUUCCAUGAUUCCAGCAGGGUGAGACAUGGGACACCUCUGUGGGAGUUGAUAUGACCAGGGAUCCCUGCACCAGCACAUGGACAAUAGAUCUCUUUCCUGGGAGCGUUUUUCCCUCCUCCUCAUCUGCUGGGGUUUCUGAAAGAGGGUAGCUCUAUGCUCCUGGUGCCUUCCUGCAAGGAUCUGGAAGGUCUGCAGGCUUCUUAGGUGGUGAUGGCUGGGACUUGGCCCUGUCACAUCUUGCAUAGACCAUCAAAAGGGUAAUGGGAUCCGGCUCCCAGCAGAGGGACCCCAGCAAAGCAGCCCUAAGUUCAGUUCAUUUGCCACUGUUGCCGUCGGGGAAUUUCAUCAGGGCCCUGGAGCAUGUCCAGAGAAGGACAGCAGAGCUGUGAAGGGUCUGGAGCACAAGUCUGUGGGGAGCGACUGAGGGAACUGGGAUGGUUCAGUCUGGAGAAGAGGAGGCUACAACCUGAAAGGAGGUGGUAGAGUGGUGAGGGUCGGUCUCUUCUCCCAGUGUAAUAGUGAUAGCAUGAAAGGUAGUGUCCUCAAGCUGCACAUGGGGGGAUUCAGGUUGGGUAUUAGGAAAUAUUUCUUCUCAGAAAGAGUGGCAGUACCCAGGGAGGUGGUGGGGUCAUCGUCCCUGGAGGUAUUCCAGAACCACAGAGAUACGGCACUGAGGGACGUGGUCAGUGGACAUGGUGGGGUUGGGUUGGGGUGGACUUGGGGAUCUCAGAGGUCUUUUCCAGACUUAAUGAUUCUAUGAUUCUAUGGAUGGGUUCUCCUGCGGCAGGGAAGCCCUGGAGAUAAGGGUAAGUGAGGAGAAAAGCAGGAAGGCCCUGGUGAUAUGGGAGAAGUACGGGUCCCACAAAAGGGCCAUCUCUUGCAGAUCUCACUCUUCUUUUUAAUGCCAGGGUUGUGAGAUAGCAACCAAGUGACUGUCACGGCAGGUCUUAACUGAGGGACCAGACACAACAACAUGGGGAUGGCAAUCAUCCAGGGGAACCAGGAGAGGUUCACACUGCCCUGAUUUAACUGAUCCCUGAUGUUUCACAUUGUCUUCCCAUAGCUUUGGUCCUCGAGGGAAGGCCAAGAUCAGCACCUGUCUCUCUGCUCCCCUGUGAGGAGCUGUAGGGCCAUGAGGAGCUGUAAGGCCAUGAGGAGCUGUAAGGCCAUGAGGGGCUGUAAGGCCAUGAGGGGCUGUAAGGCCAUGAGGGGCCGUGGGGCCAUGAGGGGCUGCAGCCGCCAUGAGGCCUCCCCUCAGCCUCCUCUGCUCUGGGCCCAACAAACCCAGGGCCCUCUGCUCUCCUCACACCCCUUGCCAUGCAGACCCUUCCCCCUCCCCACAGCCUUCCUUUGGACGCUCUCUAACAGCUCUGUGUCAGAAGGACACAGCAGCCCCAAACGUGCACCCAGUGCUUGGGGUCAGGCCGCAGCACAGAGCGGAGCGGGAGGUGGAAGAGCCCUCCAGGCAGACAGGGCCUCACUCGCAGGGUGCAGGCUCCAGGAUGGACGGGCAAAGCCAACCCUCUGGGGAGCUACUGCUGGCCCAGCAACUGGUUUUCACCCAGCAGCUGAUUUUCUGGGCAGGCACAAAGGAGUAUGGAAAAGUAGGGAUCACAUCAGGCCAAGAGAGAGGGAGAGAGAGAGAAAAAAAAAAAAAUAGGGAAAGCAAGAACAUUCCUGGAGGCUCCCUGGCCUCUCUCCCUGCAGCCUCCAGAGAGGAGAAGAGAGACAAAACAAAAGGCGUGAGAGAAGAGCGAGCCAAAGGCGAGGAGGGUGGAAGCAGCAGCGCCGGGAUGCGGCCGACCAGGCCAGAAGGGCCCAGGGGUCGCACCGAAAUCGCUGCCCUUUUAUGGCCGGGCAAGCAGGACCGUGGCGUGGAGCCUGUCCUACUAAGGGAAAACGUCUCCCGUUCAGCGUAUGCAACAAGAACACCCACAGCGCGAGCACGGCCGGGCUCCCAAAGGACGGCUGAAAUACGGCUGCUUUGCGUUGACCCCAAUUCUUCUCUUUUUUUUUUCUUUUUCCCCCUUGCCUCUGAGGGAAGGAAAAAUUUUAAGAAAAGAAGGGUUAUUUGAGCGGUUUUGGGCUCAUCGAGGCCAUCCAGGACACGGGCAGGUUGUGGUGGUGUAGAGGAUGGUCAGCACCCGGCCCCUAAGCACCGCCAUUGCUCUAACUGAGGGCAUCCCACCUCACCCCGAGUCUCCUGUGUCUUUUCCUCCCCAGGGGACAAAAUCGCACCAGGAAAAGCUUUUGCUCUUUGUCGGGUGGGAAGGGGAACGCAGGCUGCUCCAGCACCCUGCCUUGGAGCUGCCCCAACCUGUCAGAAGUUGUCCAUCCUCUCAAGUUCCUAUUUCCCAUGUUCCUCCCGUACCCCAUAAUUUUCCCCCCUGCAAGGAACUGUUGCAUCCGAGGUUCACCUCUCAGAUGAACUUUUAUUGGAUUCCAGAUUGUCUCCUACAAAUUCUGUAAUAAGUAGGUUUGCUUUUUAUAUGCAGCGACGCCGACGUGAGGAAGUGUAAUUAAAGUCCUUGAAUGACGACAAGAUCUAAAUAUUAAAGCAAAAAUUGCUUGGAGGGGGAAGGGGCAGAACCCCCUCCCCACACACACACUUCUAGAUUUCCUGAAGAAUAUUUAGCUUCUUUUACCCCGAAAAAGAAAUUAUGGAAUCACUGACUGCUUUGUGCAAGUUCAGUGUGGUUUGGUGGGCACGGAGGGGAUGGGUUGGUGGUUGGAUUAGGUGAGCUUAGUGGUCUUUUCCAACCUUAAUGAUUCUAUGAGUGCCCUGCUGGAAGCUGAAGGUUUCUCAUCGUCUUAUUUCUUCACGCUCAGUCUGGAGGUCUGGAGAUAGCACCAUACUGGGGGAAAAAAAGCUCAUUUUGAGCAUGGAUUAACUGCAGGCUUAAAGAUCAAGGCCUCUGUGUUGGAUGCAUCAAGCAAGCCAAGCCAAGCUGUCCUCACCGCUUUGCAUUGGAGGAGCUAUCUCGACUAACAACUUGGCUUGGAAGUUUUAACAUUGAGGGGAAAGAAACAUUUGGAUUCUCCCACCAGGCCUUCCUUCAGCCAUUUUUGGCUGUUUCAUUCCAGCAUGAACAAUUUAACUCCUGUUGCAUCCAGGCCGCCGGGCAAAUGUAAAUUCAACAAACCUUCACUUUUUCUCAUGAAAAACGUUACGUGGGCUUCGUGCUUUAGGUAGGAAAACCACAGAAUUUCAUAAAUAUUUGGGUGUUUUAAAAGCCCUUGAGAAGACCAUUAAGGAUGUUAAGCUGCCACAGGACUGGAGAAAAGGUCCUUUUAUUGCUGGAAAGCUGGUUACAAGACAGGGAGCAAAAGGUAGGGAGGGCUUAAUGGUCAUUUUUGGGGAUGGAGAGAGCCUGGCACUGGGUCAGCACCAGCAGCACCCUGGAGGACGAGGAGCGUGUCCAGAUGCUCAGCUCUCCCAGUGUCACCAAAUGCCACACAGACGCUAAGCAACUCCACCAGGACCUCAGCAAAUUAUGUUCAAGGUGGCAGCCAAAAAAAGCCAAUAUGUCUUUUCUUGGAGCUUUUCUCGAGCAUCUCCAAUGCAGUGUGUGUAAUUCUCAUCUCCAAGAGGAGCAUGAUGGUCUUGGAGAAGCAGAGAGAACAGCAAAACUCAUAAUACUGUGGAAUCAUCUAGGUUGGAAAAGACCUCCAAGAUCACCAAGUCCAACCAUCAGCCUGACCUACUGAGUCCUGCCACUAAGCCACGUCUCCAUGCCAAAUGACCUUCCGAGGUGAGGUAGAAAGAUCAGGAUUGUUCAGCCUGGAAAAGGGAAGGCUGAGGAGAGCUGGUGAACAAGGUGCCCUGCAUCACGAAGGCCAUGAAUACAGUAGAUACUGGCCAAUUAUUAAAACAGGCCAAUUAUUAAAGUAGCAGAUCAAUUUCAAAUGAAAAACAAGGUGUAGGAAAGGCACAUCUGCAUGGAGCAGUUAACUGGACCAGGCUCUCCCAGGCCAUAGAACCAUCUGGGCUGGAAAAGGCCUUCCAGAUGAUGCCUAACCAUCCGUGCAAAUCUAGCGAGAUGCACUUGGAUUGCUCCUUAUCUCAGCUGGACUUCAUCAGGACCUAGCAACAAGCUUCAAUCCUUAUCCAAUCCCCUAAUAAAACGUACAUGAAGUGGCUCCAGCACUGCAUCGUGCACGUAAAGACUGCAUGUCUGCACCUUUGGAUGUCACCUUCAGGUGUCACCCAGAAAUCCGGCAAGGAGAGUCACGCUCGCAGCAUGGCAUCGCAUCCACUUGGUGACGAGCCAGGUGUGAAGGUUGUGUGGGUCUUCCCAGCACGGGGCUUGCUGUUCAAAGGCAGCUUUGCAUACCAAAGGAGAACGCGGUAAGAGGCAGCAUUUCAUUAGUCAGGAAGUUAUAAAUUGAUAGCUUGAUUGAAAUAAUUAUCAAGAUUAAGAACUACAGGAAAUACCCGGAGCUGCAUUUACAGUCAAAAGCAUCUCCAGGGAGCAGGGAAAGCUUUGCCCCAGGUCGGAGCUUUGAUGCAAGAAGCAAAGGGCAGUAGGAUGUUGCAUGUCAGCACCAAGUCCCUCAGUUCAGACCUCCAUCUGCCCUCUGUGCUGGCUGCCUCCAGGAGCUCAGCAGAGCUGACAUGGGCUGCUUUUCCUGGGUCAGUCCCCAAGCACGUCCUACCAUUUAUUUUCUUAAAACAAAUCAGAUUCUUACUUUUCCCUUAGAUGGAGCCCCAUGGCAGGGAGUUGGAACCGGAUGGGCUUUGAGGUCCCUUCAAACCCAAAGCAUUCCCAUGAUUCUAAGAUUCCGAUUCUAAAAUUUUGAGAGUGGUUUUUAAGACUGCCAAGGGAGUGCUGACACUUGGUGGAGUGUAAAGCAGGUAUAUGUCAAGCACAUUAAUUUCAAAGCACUUUCGCUCUUCUCUGGCUUUUAGGUCCUUGGAAUCCAUGGGGAAAUUUUCCAUCCCAUUAGGGCUAUACAUUAGUAAUGGAAAAAAUGAGAUUAGCAGCAAGAAACCCUUUUGUUCAGUAAAUACUCAGAUACAGAAUACCAGGAAAAGCAGUGAACUUCCCUCUCUUGCUGAAAGUGAUGGCUGUGGGAGGUAGUCCUACAAAAGAAAAAAACAAAACAUUUCUAGAGUGAAGAAUAGGAAUAAUUUGAUUUAUAUUAACACUAAAUAAAAGUAUUAAGAGCUGCUUGGUGCUUGUAUUGACAACUCAAGGAGGAUGCUGUGGAGUAUUCAGCUGAAAAGGGAUGAACUGGGGAUUGGAAAAGGGCUGAGGACACAGAGCUCAGGGAGCCCACAUGGAUAAUUGGGUCUUCAAAGGCAACAGGACAGAGCAAGAUAGCAAUGCAGGCUCCAGGCAGGAUGAACAGGCACCAGGCACCUCACAGCAAGGCUUUGCCAGACCCAGCAGCCAGAAGGUUGGGUCAGCCGAGCUCAAGUGGGAGUUGAGUUUCAGUGGGUGAUGCCCAUAGUAGGGGGUUGGAACUACACGAUCUCUGAGGUCCCUUCCAACCCAAGCCAUUCUAUCCUUCUGUGAUGGUGAUGAUGAUAAAGGAUUGAGUGGAAUGACAGCCCCAGAGCAAAUUAUCAAAAACCAUGUCCAGAUUUGUCAUUGGUGAACAUUUCAAAAUCCAGAUGUAGGGAAUGGGAGAAGUGGCAGGGGAUGGUGACACAGAGCUGGAGGCGAGCAGGGCUGCAGGAGGGAGCAGUGCUCAGAGGAAUUAUAUUUACACUUCGCCAUGGAACCGAGGAGAUCCGCAGCCCAAGAGUCCCUGGGGAGCUGUCCCAGGCCUGGUACUGUUCAAAAUAUUUUGUUAAUAAUUACUUGCAUGAAUAGAAAAUUUGCUUCUUGCAGCUGCAAAUGAUACCAAGCUGGGAGGGACUUCGAGCACUUUGGAGCAUGGGCUGAAACUUCAAAGCAAACUUGACGCAUUAGAGAAAUAGCUUGGAAAAAAAAAUAAACAGGCUGCGAUUCAUUGGAAACAAAGGAAAAACUUGCUGCUUGUGUAAGAAGGCUGGGGCUGCAGAGCAUGAAAGCAAACAGCCCUCGCCAUGCUGCUGCAAAAAUGGCAAACUGAUGUGCAGGGGGAACGGGGUCUGCAGGACCACGGAGCAGUGCCUGGGGUCUGCUUGGAGCCAUGGCUGCAGCACGGCCUUGGCUGCCUAUGGGUAGGCCCAGGGUCUAAGAAAUUGCUUCAAUAUAAAAUAAAAGACCAAAGGAAUUGGAGCUAUUUAGCCUGGAGAAAAGCUGGCACAGCCUUUCACAAAUAUUUUCAGGUGGUCGAAGGGAAAAGGUUGUUUUCUCCCCUCUCUGAUUAUGAGAAGAAGUGAUGGGCUUCAGUGGCAGCAACAGAGCUUUAGUAUAGACAUCAGAAAACUGCUUUCUUUUUGGGAGUACAGCUGAACCUCAGUGCUGGUGAUGUUUACAGAGAUUUACAGGCAUAGCACCAGCCCAAAUCUCACCAAGCCUGUGGGAAUGGCCAGGAAACACAAGAAGGUUUAGGUGGAAGAGAGGCAAGCACCGAUCUCCUUCCCACACCAUCUCACCCCAGACCCCACCAUCAAAGCCCAUCCCUGGGGGGUUUUGACUCCUGAAACUGAUUGGUUGUUUGUCACAAGGCAGAGGUUUUAGCUGCAAAGAAGGGAGAAGUAAGGUCCAAGGUCAGUCAUGGCAUGGCUUAGGUUGGAGGGGAAUUUCAAGCCCGUGCAGCUCCAACCCAUCCCAUCUAGGGCUGCCAACCCAGCUCAGGCUGCCCAAAGCCCCCUCCAACCUGGCCUCAAGCACCUCCAGGGAUGGGACACCCAGAGCUCUCUGGGCAGCAGUGCCAUUGCCAACAGGGCAGUUAGGAGGGCACUUCAGAGCGUGGGUGAAGUCCUAGCAAAGUUGGUGGAAGGUGGAGUUACCUAACACGUUCCACAAAUGAUGCCUGUGCCUCAGUGCCAAAUAACACCACAGCUUGCAGCCCUGGCACAGACCAGCAGUUAUUUCCUUAAAUGGUGGAAGCAGACCUCAGAAGCAUAAAAGGCUCUGGCUGUGCAGGCCAGCAGUGUGCCCUCACAGCCAGGAAGGCCAACAGGACCCUGGGUUGCAUUGCACAGAACGUGGCCAGCAGGGGGAGGGAGGUGAUCCUAAGAGGAGCUAGUUCUGCCCUGGGGAGGGCACAUCUGAAGCACUGGGUCCAGUUCUGGGCUCUCCCGUUCAAGACAGGGAACUGCUGGAGAGAGCCCAGCUGAGGACAACCAAGAUGAUGGGGCCUGGAACAUCUCCCAGUGAAGAAAGAACAGCCCUGGGGCUGCUCAGGCUGGAGAAGAGAAGGCUGAGGGGGAAUCUCAUCAAUGCUUAUACGUAUCCAAAGAGUAGGAGCCAAGUGGAUGGGGCCAGGCUCUGACAGUGCCCUCUCCCAUUCCCCAGUACCUUCCAAAGUCGUUCUCAUGCCUUUCAUCACUCAGCUCCCUGCUGCCACGGAGGGGACCAGAACAGGGGAAGAGCUCAUCCCUAAGAGCAUACACCACGACUUGGGCUGGGAAGAAAGCCCGGGGAACGGCCAGCCCCUUCCUGGCAGCAGUAGAAAAUAAAAGGAAGGGAUGUGGCAGCCUGAAGGCCAGCACGAGGGUAUGCGCUUCGGGCCUCUGCUGCAAUUGUGAAAUAUUGCUUUCCUAAAAAAAUGCAUACAUAUCUAUAGACAGAUACCCGUAUCCCUAUGUAUCACAGACUGAUUCUGUGCCCGCAGCCCUGUGUGCUUCGAGGGCCACGCGGAUGCUCUCAAAUCUCCAGCUGGGUCCCUUUAAUUGCUGAUAUGAUUUCUGACAGUUGUGCCUUCUCACAGGCACGCAGCUAAAGCCUUUCAGAAGCGGGCGGAAAACCAUUAGCUCCACAGCCGUAUAUACCAAGAUUAUUUAUACGGAUGCGAGGGAGGGGCGGAGCGCGGGGAGCUUUAUCUGCUCGUGAUUUAAAUCCCAGGCAGCGUUGGGUUUGGCAAUGGCACCAGAUGGAUUGCAGAGUGCAGCUCAAGGUCAUCUAAAUACCGCGCCGGGCUCCCGCCGGUAAGCGCCAGCGCGAAGCACACCAAGCCAGCCACAGACAUUUAAUACAGCGUCGGAUAGCCCGUCAUCUUCAGAAAGAGCACUUGAAACGCUCCUUACCCUCGAGUACAAGGACACAAAUAACCCUUGUUUAAAAGCGAUAAAGCAGCAGGAGCGCAAUCUCUCCGCCUGUAGAUAUGGCAGGAAAGCUGUGCCGUAAAUGCACGCUUUGUAAGAACUAUUUGUUCAUCUGAUAGACACCCUCGCAGCCAGGCAGCUCAAGUCUUCUUUUCCGAUUCUGGAGAAGCUUCCUUCCCUUCCAUUUCCCCCCCCCCCCCAAGAUCUCUUCUUGCAGUCCACUAAUAGCUACCUUUAAUACACCGCAGGUCUGAGCGCUUUUUAAUACAAAAUCCUCCCCUGGAGGACACACAGCAGGCUGUCAGCUCCUCUGUUUUUACCAGCACAGGCAGCAGGAGGGGACAGCCUGACUUCAGCUCACACGUGCAGCAAGCAGCACUUUGGGUGUGAAAGCAAGAGAGGGGCUGGACAACCCCUCUCACACAGCGAGGAAUCCCACGCCUGGCAUCCUCCUCAAAAGCGACGCUCGUAAGCUUGCGGUUAGCCAUGGUGUCCAGGUCAUGCCAAGGACGGAAGCAAACAACUUCCACUCGUCCUCACCCCUAAGGAAAUCCAGUCAGACCAAGGCAAUCAGCCUUUCCGUCAGGGCAACGCCAGCGUACCCAGCGAAAUCCAGCUCUCCUGGAACAGAAGGGUCUGAGAGGCUGACGGGUUUGUGCGCUGAGCCGUCGCAUCUGCUGACUUCAAGCAACACCACAUUUCCAAUACGCUGCGGAAACGAUGCGGGAACGCAGUCUGGGGAAAGAAUAUUUAGCAAAGUCGUUAAACUCAGCACACAGAUUUCUGCGCAGAUCUGCUACGUGCAGCUUUUCCACAACGGAGAGGAACCUUCCACGUAUCUUGAGGAAAUGCUGAGACCUCACAGCACCUGCAAAUCUCAAACUAUUUGCUCCUCCUCCGACUCUUCAGUCAACGCCGAACGGAGCCUUGUGGAG